ACGGGAGGCAGCAGUCGGGAAUUUUGCGCAAUGGAGGAAACUCUGACGCAGUGACGCCGCGUGCAGGAAGAAGGUUUUCGGAUUGUAAACUGCUUUAGACAGGGAAGAAACAAGACAGUACCUGUAGAAUAAGCUCCGGCUAACUACGUGCCAGCAGCCGCGGUAACACGUAGGGAGCAAGCGUUAUCCGGAUUUAUUGGGUGUAAAGGGUGCGUAGACGGGAAAAUAAGUUAGCUGUGAAAUCCCUCGGCUCAACCGAGGAACUGCAACUAAAACUGUUUUUCUUGAGUGCUGGAGAGGAAAGUGGAAUUCCUAGUGUAGCGGUGAAAUGCGUAGAUAUUAGGAGGAACACCAGUGGCGAAGGCGACUUUCUGGACAGUAACUGACGUUGAGGCACGAAAGUGUGGGGAGCAAACAGGAUUAGAUACCCUGGUA
rnacentral:rRNA from 1 species